rnacentral:rRNA from 1 species
AGUCUGCAACUCGACUACAUGAAGCUGGAAUCGCUAGUAAUCGCGAAUCAGAAUGUCGCGGUGAAUACGUUCCCGGGUCUUGUACACACCGCCCGUCACACCAUGGGAGUCGGGAAUGCCCGAAGUCAGUGACCCAACCGGAAGGAGGGAGCUGCCGAAGGCAGGCUCGAUAACUGGGGUGAAGUCGUAACAAGGUAAC